GUCAGAAUUCGGCAGCACAUACACUAAAAUUGGAACCAUACAGAGAAGAUUAGCAUGGCCCCUGCACAAGGAUGACGCCCAAAUUCAUGAAGUGUUCCUUAUUUAA